rnacentral:ncRNA from 1 species
AUAAAGACUAUGAAGGGGAAGAGUAGUUUCCAAACACUUUACAGGGAGAAACUGCCAUAGAUUGAGAGCAGUUUUAAAGUUAAGGGAAAUGAAGGACACCCUGGAGUUUGUACCUGAAUUAAGUAGGGCUACACGCUAUCAGCGUUAUAGAUUUAAGUGGGCUAUGCCAAUUAGGGUGGCACCGCGGGAAAUAUACCCGUCCCUUAC